UCCAGUGAGAAUUUCCAUAUUUUAAACAGCGAUCCUCAUCAUCUCGAGUAUGUUUACCCUUUGCGCUUGAGUAUUUACUCCCAUUUGGCAGAAUCGUUUUAUAGGUUGCGCUCAAAUCUUGACUUGCCGUCAACAAAUCUCCCUUGCUGAUAGAUGGAAAAAUAAUGAACUGCACACGGUAGAAAUUUAUAUUGAUUAUCGGAGAUCCUUUGUUCACUGCACACAAAAAGCACUAAAUAUCUUUAAAGAAAUCAAACGUACACUAUUUUUCUCCUUUAAAAUUAACAAUUUUGUGGUAGAAAAACAAUUUUUUUUUCUAUUCCAGGCAUUUAUCAAUUAUAUGUAGAUGAAGAUGCACGAUUUUUACAUCACUGUAACCGGGUCAGUUUCCCUCUGCUGAAUGCAAUCCAUUUUAAUCUCAAAUAAUACUAAUUUUGUUAGAGAGCCUGUAGUACUAAAAAAAAAGUGACUGUCCACUGGCGACGAGGCCUUAAUUUAUUUACAGCGUUCAAAUUUUCAGAAGUCAAGAUUUUGUCCAGUUCAGUAAAAAAAUCAGAUUUUAAAAAAGGAAAAAAUACAAAAUCUCGGACCAAUAGACCAAAUUGCGAGCAGUUUAAUUAAUUAUUUUGCCAUUCAAAGGCACAUUUCACUAUAAUCUGGCAAUUGUACUAAAUUUUUGUUUAGAACAAUGUUAUUAAUGCGCAAACUUACCUAUAUACCCCCUAUAUAACUCCAAUUCGAUUGGACAUUUUGAACAUUUAUUGUCUUAUAAUGUUUGUAUCUGAAACAUAUUUGUAUGCUCUGUUAUCAUUAACUCAACGCUGAGUCCAUGCGUAUUAAGGUCUCUUUCCCUAUGGAUGGUUAAAUUAAAGAAUAUCUACUUAGUAAAUUUUUGCCUGAGUCAGUAUCAGUCAGUUCUUUGUAUCAUACUAUUUGUCCUCUUCUGGUCUUUUUUUCAGCAUUAUUUCAAAGGAAAACCCCAGUUGGAAUUGAAAAAUCCAACUGUGCUGAUCAGCGAAGGAAGCACAUAUAAGACAGCAAUUAUGAACAAUUUCUUACAAAUCUCAGCUGUGAUGAGUUUGUAAGUUGAUUCUUUGCUCUUACACCUCUUAAAAAUACUCUCAGUUUUUUCUUUUCUUUUUUUGAG
rnacentral:lncRNA from 1 species